rnacentral:rRNA from 1 species
AUGCUGGUUCGGGCGCCCUACCAAGCGCCGGAGAAGAAGGCCAAGAAGAAGGCCAAGGAGACCAGAAGUGGCCUCCGCCGUAAGGGCACUUCGGACGUGACGUCCGAAGACACCGAGACCCACUCCUCCCCCACCGAGGACUACGAGGAGGAGGAGGAAAGCAACUCUCCCCCGGAAGGGGGGAGGAAGAAAAGGGCGGCCUCCACGCAUCUGGAGGCAGAGGCAUCCAAGAAGGGGAAGGUCUCCCUCGCGGACAACUCCGCGUGGGACAUUGAUAGCAGCUCUGAGUGGCGCCCCAGGGAUAAGCCCCUGGCCGAAUUUCCGGCUCGUUCCGACCUCCAGCGAUCCUCAUCUUCGGGGAAUUCGCUGGAUCCGAAGGUGAUGGACAGCGGGUCCCUUCCGGCGGACUUCUCUCCCCAGGCCAUGGACGACGCCGAGUUGCUGUCCCGAAGGACCUCCCCGGGCCAGGGAGAAACGCAGGAGGCCGUCAGGGUGGUGCUAGAAGGUGAUACCUUGGCCGCCGGACACAUGGGGGAGAAAAUCCCCCUGGAGACUGGCGAUGGGGGCCAUAUCCAAUUCGGCCCCCAGCCGAAAACAAUUCCGGAGACCUAUACGGCUCCGGAAUCAGGCAAGGAGCCUCCUUCAAAAGAAGGAGGUGCACCGACUCCACCGGUGACCUCUGUCCAUCCAGAGGCACCGGAUACUCUACUGGAAGCGCUGCAAAGCGCUUCCAUUGUUGAGGAACACCGUAUCCUUAUGGGUACGGUGGUUGAGAGAGUUCGGUCCGUUAAGAGCGGACUGACCGAAGCUUGCACCAGCCUUCUAACAGGCUUUGAGGUGUCGUUGCUGGCUGCGACCUCCCAUUAUGCCGAAUUCUCCGGACUGAAGCAGAGUCUGGAGCGGACCGAGGAAGAGCUCGGCCGUGUGAAAAAACAGCUGGAGGACAAGCAAGGUGCUGCGGCCGAGGUGGAGUCCCUCAAAAACGCGCUGGCCGAGGCCCAGAAGAGAGCGGCGAAGGAACAAGCCGCCCGUGAAAAACAUGAGGCAAGGGUCGGGGAGGUCUAG